rnacentral:rRNA from 1 species
CCCUUAGAUGUUCUGGGCUGCACGCGCGCUACACUGACAUACUCAGCAAGUUUCCUUUCCCGAAAGGGUUGGGUAAUCUUGUUAGUGUAUGUCGUGAUGGGGAUAGAAUAUUGUAAUUAUUGCUCUUUAACGAGGAAUUCCUAGUAAGCGCAAGUCAACAGCUUGCGCUGAUUACGUCCCUGCCCUUUGUACACACCGCCCGUCGCUCCUACCGAUUGGGUGAUCCGGUGAAUGGUUCGGACUCUGGCUAUGCUAGCUACUAGCUACGUCAGGGAAAGUUCUGUGAACCUUAUCACUUGGAGGAAGGAGAANUCGUANCA